UACGUGAGGGUCCAAGCGUUAUCCGGAAUCAUUGGGUCGUAAAGCGUGCGUAGGUGGCGUGUUAAGUGUUGAUGUUAAAUCGUGUGGCUCAACCAUAUCGAUGUGUCGCAUUACUGGAUGCUAGAGGGACAGCAGAGGCAAGUGGGAAUUUGAUAGUGUAGCAGUGAAAUGCGUAGAUAUUACAAGGAACACCAAUAGGCGAAGGCAGCUUGCUGGGCUACUCCUGACACUGAGGUACGAAAGCGUGGGGAGCGAACAGGA
rnacentral:rRNA from 1 species